rnacentral:rRNA from 1 species
UGGGGAAUAUUGGACAAUGGGCGCAAGCCUGAUCCAGCCAUGCCGCGUGGGUGAAGAAGGCCUUCGGGUUGUAAAGCCCUUUUGUCCGGAACGAAAAGGUGUCGGUUAAUACCCGGCACUGCUGACGGUACCGGAAGAAUAAGCACCGGCUAACUUCGUGCCAGCAGCCGCGGUAAUACGAAGGGUGCAAGCGUUACUCGGAAUCACUGGGCGUAAAGCGUGCGUAGGCGGUUUCUUAAGUCUGUCGUGAAAGCCCUGGGCUCAACCUGGGAAUGGCGAUGGAUACUGGGAGGCUAGAGUGUGAUAGAGGAUGGUGGAAUUCCCGGUGUAGCGGUGAAAUGCGUAGAGAUCGGGAGGAACACCAGUGGCGAAGGCGGCCAUCUGGAUCAACACUGACGCUGAGGCACGAAAGCGUGGGGAGCAAAC